UACGUAGGGUGCAAGCGUUGUCCGGAAUUAUUGGGCGUAAAGAGCUCGUAGGCGGUUCGUCGCGUCGGCUGUGAAAACCCGGAGCUCAACUCCGGGCCUGCAGUCGAUACGGGCGGACUGGAGUUCGGCAGGGGAGACUGGAAUUCCUGGUGUAGCGGUGAAAUGCGCAGAUAUCAGGAGGAACACCGGUGGCGAAGGCGGGUCUCUGGGCUGACACUGACGCUGAGGAGCGAAAGCAUGGGGAGCGAACAGG
rnacentral:rRNA from 1 species